AGAACGAACGCUGGCGGCAGGCUUAACACAUGCAAGUCGAACGCCCCGCAAGGGGAGUGGCAGACGGGUGAGUAACGCGUGGGAAUCUACCUGGUUCUACGGAAUAACUGAGGGAAACUUCAGCUAAUACCGUAUACGCCCUAAGGGGGAAAGAUUUAUCGGUGCCAGAUGAGCCCGCGUUGGAUUAGCUAGUUGGUGGGGUAAUGGCCUACCAAGGCGACGAUCCAUAGCUGGUCUGAGAGGAUGAUCAGCCACACUGGGACUGAGACACGGCCCAGACUCCUACGGGAGGCAGCAGUGGGGAAUAUUGGACAAUGGGCGAAAGCCUGAUCCAGCCAUGCCGCGUGAGUGAUGAAGGCCUUAGGGUUGUAAAGCUCUUUCAGUGGGGAAGAUAAUGACGGUACCCACAGAAGACGCCCCGGCUAACUUCGCGCCAGCAGCCGC
rnacentral:rRNA from 1 species